rnacentral:SRP_RNA from 1 species
GCCGGGGGACGUAGCGCUUCCCUGUAACCCAUGUGGAGGCUGAUGUUGCGGAGAUGUGCAUGAUUCUUCCGGUCUAGCAGCCUGCGUCGAGGGCGUGUCCUCUCUGAGCGCACAGUCGGCAACGGGGCCUCCCUGACGGGGGAUCCUCGUGGCUGCAUGGAUAGCCUGGCACCGCGUGAGGCAGGAAACUGAGCAGCGAAAACGGGCAGCUGCGCGCGGCAGAAGGAUCGCAUGCCUGAGUGGGCGGCUAGGCCACCCGGAAGGUCCUCUGCGGAUCGACCAACGUUUUU